UCCGGUACCCGGAAGCAAAACUGAUACCACGCAUGCGCGGGAGACGUCACUUCCGCUAAAACGGUUUGUUUACGAUGGUUAGUGUUUCUCUUUUUCUGUGACAGGCCAUGGCCUCAGAAAGACGCAUCUGCUGAAUUUGGACAGCCAUAGCAUAGGAAGAAGUUUUACUGCACGACACCACAAGGGAAACCAAAUGGUCCAGAACACCGGCAUUUUAAGAAAGAUAUCCCCUGCCUGAUGUAGAGAUGGAAGAAGAAGAAAACGAAACGCUGAAAGAACUCCAAAGCUGUGCCUUUUUGAGUGAUAAUAUUAGAUUGGUACUGUAUAUAUUACUCUAAAAUGUGUCUUCUUGUCCAAUAAAAUGCAAGAGAGGCAGAAAAAUAA